AAGCUCCGUUGUUUCUCCAAGGCCAAAACCUUCCGUCGCUUGUAAUGCCGCUCUAUUUUUGCAUCAGUACCCUGACCACCAUCCUUCUGGGUGCACUUGUCACCGGGGAUAACUAUAUCAUUCUCUUCACUGGUGCCAUCAGGCGCAGGUCGUUUGCCAUCAAGAGACGUGAUCUCAGACGUUUCGUUCUUUGGGCUGCAAGGUCUAUCUACAAGUUUGCUGGUGCCAUCAGGCAGAGGACUUUGAGCAUCAGAAGAUAUGUUCUCCGAAACUGUUUCAUUGAUCGUGCUGCAGGGUACAUCUAUGGAUAGAACCACGCCAUCAGUGCAGGUUGCGGCAUCUGCACAAGGUGCUGCACCAUCCAUUGCGAAGUGUUUGCAAUUGUCA
rnacentral:lncRNA from 1 species